UACGUAGGGGGCGAGCGUUGUCCGGAAUCAUUGGGCGUAAAGCGCGUGUAGGCGGCUCGGUAAGUCUGCUGUGAAAGUCCAGGGCUCAACCCUGGGAUGCCGGUGGAUACUGUCGAGCUCGAGUCCGGAAGAGGCGAGUGGAAUUCCUGGUGUAGCGGUGAAAUGCGCAGAUAUCAGGAGGAACACCAAUUGCGAAGGCAGCUCGCUGGGACGUAACUGACGCUGAGACGCGAAAGCGUGGGGAGCAAACAGG
rnacentral:rRNA from 1 species